UCAAGUCCAUGAGCAACUUCGUCAAUAAAUCUUUGGAAUGUACUCGUGGCGUUCUGCAGACCGAAGCUCAUAAAAAGGAACUCAAAGCUGCCAAAAGGAGUAGUGAUGGCAGUUUUUGGAUUGACCGGAAUCUGAAUUAAGUGGAAACUG